GAAAAUCAUCCUGGUUGCAGAUGCCACUGGACUUACAUCACCAUUACAUCUGUGUUUAGACAGUGACUCUUCACUUCAGCUAUGUACCCAAAUCACUUGCAGAAUGUUUUUAAAAUGCAAGGCACUGACGUUUCUUCUGCUACAGCCUCCAAGCCCCAAACUUCCUCCACACAGCACUAUCCGAAGAACAGCCAUUGAUCUGAUUGGACGUGGGUUCACUGUUUGGGAGCCUUACAUGGAUGUGUCCGCUGUUCUGAUGGGGCUUCUCGAACUUUGUGCCGAUGCCGAGAAACAACUUGCCAACAUCACAAUGGGGUUGCCUCUGAGCCCAGCAGCUGACUCGGCCCGCUCUGCGAGGCAUGCCCUCUCGCUCAUUGCCACCGCCAGACCACCCGCCUUCAUCACCACCAUAGCCAAAGAGGUACACAGACAUACGGCUCUUGCAGCAAAUACCCAAUCACAGCAGAAUAUGCACACAACAACUCUUGCACGAGCUAAAGGGGAAAUUCUGAGAGUCAUUGAAAUUCUUAUUGAAAAGAUGCCCACAGAUGUUGUGGAUCUUCUCGUGG
rnacentral:sRNA from 1 species